rnacentral:rRNA from 1 species
GACGAACGCUGGCGGCGUGCUUAACACAUGCAAGUCGAACGGAAAAGCCCUGCUUUUGUGGGGUGCUCGAGUGGCGAACGGGUGAGUAACACGUGAGUAACCUGCCCUUGACUUUGGGAUAACUUCAGGAAACUGGGGCUAAUACCGGAUAGGAGCUCCUGCUGCAUGGUGGGGGUUGGAAAGUUUCGGCGGUUGGGGAUGGACUCGCGGCUUAUCAGCUUGUUGGUGGGGUAGUGGCUUACCAAGGCUUUGACGGGUAGCCGGCCUGAGAGGGUGACCGGCCACAUUGGGACUGAGAUACGGCCCAGACUCCUACGGGAGGCAGCAGUGGGGAAUAUUGCACAAUGGGCGGAAGCCUGAUGCAGCAACGCCGCGUGCGGGAUGACGGCCUUCGGGUUGUAAACCGCUUACGCCUGUGACGAAGCGUGAGUGACGGUAAUGGGUAAAGAAGCACCGGCUAACUACGUG